rnacentral:tRNA from 1 species
GCGGCGUGCGGGCGGGGAGCGUUGUAGGGCUGGCCCUCCCGCGGGCCGAGAUGGUCCCGGCCAUCCUCGGCGUGCUGGGCGCCGGCGCCGCC